CAUCAAAUGACCCUGCACUCCACUGAACAUGACAGACAAGUGCAGAGUUAUUAGAAAGCAGAGCCAUCUUGGUGUGUGUGUGCAGGGGAGCAUGGAAAUCAGAGUUGGCCAAUGGAGCCCUCCAUUCUCACUCCAUGGCGACUGGAUUCCAUGUCCAUGUCAUCCCUCCAAGGUGGAGGAGCUGGAGAGAAGGGGUUCACACUGACAGAGGGAACCGACUAGUUUCAUCAUCCCAGCAUUUCCAGAGCAGACCCACAGCUCCAAAGACACAUCCUCAGCGUCAGGUUGAAGGCCCUUCUGAAUUUGAAGACCCAGAGAUUUUGGGGAGCCAUGAGCUGUUUUCCUGCUGAAGAAGGCCCUGGGUUGAAGCCCUGUACGUGUUAAGCUCCUUACAGAUUUUCCGACUUAGCCGCCUUUUGGGAGCAAGGUGAUCGCGUGAAGGAUUUUGAUGCUGCCCCCAAUAGUGCUGCAUGGUAAAUAGCAAAUUUGGGCAACUGGAUCAUAAAAGAUAAAUUUCAA